CCUACGGGAGGCAGCAGUGAGGAAUAUUGGUCAAUGGGAGAGAUCCUGAACCAGCCAAGCCGCGUGAGGGAAGACGGCCCUAUGGGUUGUAAACCUCUUUUGUCGGAGAACAAAACCCGGGACGUGUCCCGGACUGCGUGUAUCCGACGAAAAAGCAUCGGCUAACUCCGUGCCAGCAGCCGCGGUAAUACGGAGGAUGCGAGCGUUAUCCGGAUUUAUUGGGUUUAAAGGGAGCGUAGAUGGGUUGUUAAGUCAGUUGUGAAAGUUUGCGGCUCAACCGUAAAAUUGCAAUUGAUACUGGCAGCCGUGAGAACAGUUGAGGUAGGCGGAAUUCGUGGUGUAGCGGUGAAAUGCUUAGAGAUCACGAAGAACUCCGAUUGCGAAGGCAGCCUACUAAGCUGCCACUGACAUUGAUGCUCGAAAGUGUGGGGAGCAAACAGGAUUAGAUACCCGAGUAGUC
rnacentral:rRNA from 1 species